UAAAUACUCCCUCCGUUCCAUAAUUCUUGUCGAAAUAUUACAUGUAUCUAGACUCUUUUUAGGAAUAGAUGCAUCCAUAUUUGGGCAAAUUUGAGACAAGAAUUAUGAAACGGAGGGAGUAGGAA
rnacentral:pre_miRNA from 1 species